rnacentral:lncRNA from 1 species
GCUUGGCAGCCUCCAGAUUCAUUGUGAUUAUCCCAGCCCAGUCGCUGAGGAUCAACUUUGUACAAUUCAGAAGACUCAAGUUCACUUACACACACCUACAUAGUGAGUGGCUCAAAACCAUCUAGAAUUCCAGUCCCAAUGGAUAUGACACCAUCUUCUGGCUUCUGAGGACACCAGAUUUUACAAGUGGUACACAGAUAUACAUGCAGGAAGAAAGAAUAUGGCCAGCACCUUGGUCACUUGGGCGCUGAAUCAGGGGACAACCCCAAGGUCCCUAGAGGACUCUCCACAGGAUCUUAUGACCACCGCCUUGAGACUUCCAUGCAUGGAAAGAUGCUGAGCAAUUUCAAGGAGCCCACAGUUGAGAGACUGAAAUUUUGGAGAAACACUGGAAUUUUAAAGAAAUUUUGGAUUCUUUCAAAAAAUUGUGAACUUGAAAGAGACUUGGGAUUUUUUUUUAAGACUGAACUUUGAAAGUGAUUGAAUUUUAAAGACUGAGAGUUUUAAAGAUUGACAUAUGCAAUAUGUUGCAAUGUUUAUAUUCUUAUGAGAUAAAACAUAGAUGUGUUUCUUUGCCCUGCUGAGAAAAGGUCCAUUGUACUGGCUAAACUUAUGUCUGCUUGAUGCAAACAAGAGUCACUUUGGAAUAAGGAAACUCAGUUGAGAAAAUGUCCCUACCAGAUUGUCCUAGUGACAAGCUUGUGGUGCAUUUUUUGUAAUUCUAGAUUGGCAUAGCAGGACUCAGAUAACUAUGGGCAGUGUCAUGCCCAGGUGGUCCUGGAUGUGAUAAGAAAACAAGUUUAACAAUCCAUGAGCUGUAAUCCAAUGAUGAGAAAUCCUCCAUCAUCCCUGACUCUAGGUCCUUUCCCUAUUUUAAUCCCUGUUCUGCUUUCCCUCAGUGGUGAACGGUCAAGUGGAACUGUAAGCUGACUGUAAUCAACCUUUCUAUGUUGCUUUGGUUCUGUUGUUUUGUCAUAGCAAUAGAUACCCUAAGACAGUUUAUGUUGUUUGCUCAGUGUUCAGGAUAAGCUUUUUAGUCUUCACACUAAAGUUGGAUAGUAUUUUCCCACCAUAACCACAUAGCAUACUUAUCAGAACAUUCCAGAGCUGUGAUGUGGACACCUGAGAGUGCUGACCUCACCUUUAGGAUUUUCUUCCUCUGCGAGUGCAGGAAAAUAUCAGAAUCAAAAUAACAUUUCAACUUGGAGUCUCAGAGAUAACACCUCAAAAGAUCAGUUUCACUAAUUUUAUGUGGAGGAGCCUUUUAGAUUGUUAAUGUCCAUUUAUAUGGUAAUUGCUCCACAAUGUAUGUCCAUUUUAUUCUCCUUUCAGCUAGAUUCCAUUUUCACCUAAUAAUGCCAGUCACUAGCAUACCAUGUGAGUAUAAAUGAUUGUCGUGAAUAGUGCUGAACAAAUCAAUACGAUGUUCAAGUUGAGCUUAAGCUGAAUUCUUAAUAGUCCGUGGAUUAAAAUGAGACUGGAGAAUAACUGUGAAGAGCAAUGCAUUGCUACUCUUUCUUUUGGUGAUUCUUUGGGGGGACAGCUCUUCAGGUGGCAGUCCCAUUACCCCAGUGGCAUAUCUAAGCUGUUUCUAGACAGAGUUAGCCUCUGUUUCUAUCUGAAAAGUUAGAGAAAUAAAUUUUUGGGGAAGAAAUUCAUGGCCAGGCUCCUCACCUUUAGUAUACUAAAUUUAUGUAUUUCACCUGCUUCUUAUAUGUUAAAUCAAAUAAAAAAAGAAUGCAGCUCUCCUUACCUUAUGAAUGAAUAAUGUGAAAAAGAGGUGAAAAAUAAGAAUAAUAUAAGGGUUAUGUAUUCAGUACCUAUUUGUCCAUUUCACCUCUGGGUACUCUAAGCUCGUGCCAUGAAUAUUUAUUGAACACUCAAGACUGACUUACUUGUUUUUCUCAUUUAUUUGGCCAAAUAACUAACAAAACUACAACUUAAGAAAGGAUUUCAGAUAUGGCCAUCCUCUGCUACAAGGAACCAAGG